CUUGUACUCCCUCCGUCCGAAAAUACUUGUCACUGGAAUGGAUGUACCUAGAUGUAUUUUAGUUCUAGACACAUCCAUUUUGAUGACAAGUAAUUCCAGAUGGAGGGAGUACUUG
rfam:Triticum aestivum genome assembly, contig: Triticum_aestivum_CS42_TGACv1_scaffold_213326_3AS